rnacentral:lncRNA from 1 species
AUGUGAUGAAGGCAUUUUGAACUUUCAGCCUUCUUUCUAGUAACUGAGAUCUCCAAGCGUCUGCACAGUGCUGCGGAGGACCGCAGGCAUCCUGCUAACUGUGCAGUAUUUCCUUGAGGAACCAGGUCCUUGUGGGAACUCUGUCUUCUUGCCUCAUGUCAUUAGUCUUCAGCAUGUGUGCCCUCUACCCCAGGAAAAGAGAGGAACUUCAAUAGAUGGAGAAAGUAAUGGAGGAAAAAUAGUCUUCAGAGCUGAAACAGAUUUCCUUUCAUGGAGUACAGCUUUUAAAUCAGAAUUUAUAUGAAUACCAACAUCAGUGACAGCGAUCCAAACGCAAAGUUAUUUACAAGGAAUAGAAGAAAAAAGGUAAGUUGUAAUCUUAACUAAUAGGUUUUUAUUUAUGAAAAAUUCAUUUUUUAG